GGGAAGGUGGCUCAGUGGUAGAGUGCUUGCCUUGCAUGCAUGAGUCCCUGGGUUCACUUCCUCAGCUUCACA
rfam:Dipodomys ordii contig_52649, whole genome shotgun sequence.